rnacentral:rRNA from 1 species
ACUCCUACGGGAGGCAGCAGUGGGGAAUAUUGCACAAUGGGGGAAACCCUGAUGCAGCCAUGCCGCGUGUGUGAAGAAGGCCUUGGGUUGUAAAGCACUUUCAGUAGGGAGGAAGGUAGUGUAGUUAACACCUGCAUUAUUUGACGUUACCUACAGAAGAAGCACCGGCUAACUCCGUGCCAGCAGCCGCGGUAAUACGGAGGGUGCGAGCGUUAAUCGGAAUUACUGGGCGUAAAGCGCAUGCAGGCGGCCUGUUAAGUCAGAUGUGAAAGCCCGGGGCUUAACCUCGGAAUUGCAUUUGAAACUGGACAGGCGUAGAGUCUUGUAGAGGGGUUAGGAAUUUGAGUGUAGCGGUGAAAUGCGUAGAGAUCUGAAGGAAUACCGAGUGGCGAAGGCGGCCCCCUAGGGACCAAAGGACUAGACGCGUCAG